GAUGAACGCUAGCGGGAGGCCUAACACAUGCAAGCCGAGCGGUAGAGAUCUUUCGGGAUCUUGAGAGCGGCGUACGGGUGCGGAACACGUGUGCAACCUGCCUUUAUCUGGGGGAUAGCCUUUCGAAAGGAAGAUUAAUACCCCAUAAUAUGUUGGAUGGCAUCAUUCGACAUUGAAAACUCCGGUGGAUAGAGAUGGGCACGCGCAAGAUUAGAUAGUUGGUGAGGUAACGGCUCACCAAGUCUGCGAUCUUUAGGGGGCCUGAGAGGGUGAUCCCCCACACUGGUACUGAGACACGGACCAGACUCCUACGGGAGGCAGCAGUGAGGAAUAUUGGACAAUGGGUGAGAGCCUGAUCCAGCCAUCCCGCGUGAAGGACGACGGCCCUAUGGGUUGUAAACUUCUUUUGUAUAGGGAUAAACCUACUCUCGUGAGAGUAGCUGAAGGUACUAUACGAAUAAGCACCGGCUAACUCCGUGCCAGCAGCCGCGGUAAUACGGAGGGUGCAAGCGUUAUCCGGAUUUAUUGGGUUUAAAGGGUCCGUAGGCGGAUCUGUAAGUCAGUGGUGAAAUCUCACAGCUUAACUGUGAAACUGCCAUUGAUACUGCAGGUCUUGAGUGUUGUUGAAGUAGCUGGAAUAAGUAGUGUAGCGGUGAAAUGCAUAGAUAUUACUUAGAACACCAAUUGCGAAGGCAGGUUACUAAGCAACAACUGACGCUGA
rnacentral:rRNA from 1 species